AUUUAUCCAAAGUCUGAUUUCUCAGAACUAGCAAUUCAAGCUCCAGUCCAGUUGAACGCUUUGCACCCAAAGUGUCUAUACUGACUGAUUUCAUGCCCCUCAGCUACUGGAUUUUAACUUACGAUUUAUUGAGAUCAAAGUCAAGUGAUGCUAGAAGUCAAAGUUUUGAAAUUGGUGAAGGAAGAAAUGCAUUGUCAUGGCAUUAAGUGCCCGUCAGACAGAGGUACCAAACAGUUCAAAGAACAGUCAAAAGCUUUACAGACUAGCUUAGAUACGUUAAUGUCUGCAUACUGCCGCAGUCUACUUUGCAGAGUAUAUGGUACUGAUUAUCUCACUGCUGUCAUGUUCUUGAAGUUGCCUGUAUAUUAAGCUUAAAGAAGAAAAAACCCCAAUGCAGUAUUGUUACAGAACAAAGUUAGAAGUAUGUAAUGAAUAAUAUAUUCAAGUAUAAAAAAGUUUUCAAAUGUUCAGGAUUUUAAAUAAACUUAACACUUGUGCGGCAUUAAUGUUGCUGUUCAUUUUAGUAAAUACACUGCCUUCAGUUAAGAAUUCAUUAUGUUUUAAUCUCUGAAGUUUGGCAACACUUGUAUGGACAAAGCUUUUAUAAGGUAUCAAAGAAGCCAGAAUUGUUAGAAGCCUUCGUAGUUCUUCAAAAUCUCUGCUCUACUCUCCUUUUUGUAUCAAUAAUCAUACUGCAUUCUGUUUUCAGUGCAGUCCUGCAUUUUCUCACUAGCUCCUUAAAGACAUCUGAGGUUACACAAUCAAGUAGCCUUAGGUGCGUCCUUUUCUUUUUGAAGAUGAGGGAGCAGUGGUGAAGUGCUCAGGUUAUGUUUCCACACUGACCCACCUGUUGCUCUCUGAAAGUACCUGGACAUGAGGUAUUUUUGCUUUAUAUUCACCUUGUGUUUUUUCUACAAACAGAAGCACCAUGCUUAAAUGAAGGACAAAUGGUGAGACUUUUGAGGGUCUAAAUCUAGUGAGGUACUAAGUCAAUUAAUUUACAGAAGUCACUGGGAAACCUUCUAGAAGGAGUACACAGCACAUGAUAAAAGCAAGGCCUUUUAUUUGAAGCUCAUCAACAAUGUUUCUUAAUUAUCCAGAGAAAUAGUUGCUGUUUUAUUAAAAAGCCUCACCCUGAGGCUGAGCCUGCUUGCUCUACAGAGCUUCAGGUCUCUGCUGUCUAAGCAAUAAAACAAACUAGUUGUAGGAAUGAAAACUGUCUCCCCUCUGUCUGUCACAGCAAUGCCAGAUCAGAGGAAAAUCUGAACAAUACUCUCUUAAAGACUUGUCUUUUUCUUUUUCAAGCACUGCAAUAGAAUGUAUUUUCUGUGUCUGUUUCUUCAGUGGUUGCUAUCUACUAAACCAAGUCUUUAUGAAGGAGAAAUGUCACUGCAGUGUGUUUCCCAAGUGAUUAAAGUUGGUAAAUGCUGCAGCAUUACUUAUUCAGAUGCUGUUUGGGGUUUUGAGAACUCUUUAAUAAUUUUGCGUUUAAAAAAACCCAAAACCAAAACAUGGCCAAAAGAACCCAGCAAACUGUACAAUGGAAAAAAAAUGUUGGAGUCUCUGAUGUUGCUGAACGUUGCAUAAUGCUCCAUUCUAUUGUCUUCCGGAUUUCUUGGAAAUAUUUGUGCACUGUAUUGGGAUCAGUUGAGCCCCUUACCCACUCAUGCAAGGGGGGGAUCUGGUCCCAUACUGUUUAUUCAGGCAAUACUCUAACUGAAAUACAUGAGAAUUUCACAUGUGUAAAGAGUAAAGUAACAUCCAGAAUGGAAGUUCUGGUGCUUGCAUUUUCAUGGAUUAUGUAUUCCUCCAUAGGGGAGUGAACUGCAGUGGCAUGGAUGUUUUAAUGUUAGCUAUGAGAACCUGAAAGGUGCACUGGGGACAGAUAGUAUUAUCAAUAUAAAUUUAACUUAAAAGAUGACAAAUUCACUACAGGUGAUGCAAAAGUACGUGAUUUAUGUUUUAUUAACUUUGCCAGGGAAGUGUGAAUAGUUGCAUGUGACUUGCUGUGACCAGAGCCUUUAAUUAUUUUCAUGUGAAAGCAAUUACUAGUCCAAAGUAAUUACUACUGCUCAUCAGCUGUCAUCUGAUCACUCUUGUCUUCUAUACUAUUGUGUAACACUUCAGUCUUGGGCAGUAGGGCAGCCUAAUUUCCAAUACAGAUGCACAGAUUUCUAGGGAAAGAUAUUCUGGAUAUUGUAAAUGAAAUACUGUUAUGUUUUAUACAUGACAUUCAGUAAUGUCUGCUUAGGCUGUAUUUGUAAAGAUAGAAGUUAAUAAUUUCAUGUUCUUGAGUGGGUAACCCAGGGGAUGGAGGAGUUACGCUAUGUACAAUUAAUAUUUAUGAUCAUACAAAGCAUGUUGAUUAUAAAAAUAAUGUGCAUAGGAAUUCCUUUAAAAGUUUUGUGCAAUAAACUAUUUUUGGUAAAGG
ensembl:lncRNA